UACGGAGGGAGCUAGCGUUAUUCGGAAUUACUGGGCGUAAAGCGCACGUAGGCGGCUUUGUAAGUUAGAGGUGAAAGCCUGGAGCUCAACUCCAGAACUGCCUUUAAGACUGCAUCGCUUGAAUCCAGGAGAGGUGAGUGGAAUUCCGAGUGUAGAGGUGAAAUUCGUAGAUAUUCGGAAGAACACCAGUGGCGAAGGCGGCUCACUGGACUGGUAUUGACGCUGAGGUG
rnacentral:rRNA from 1 species